UACGUAGGGGGCGAGCGUUAUCCGGAUUUACUGGGCGUAAAGCGCGUUAAGGCGGCUGGCAAAGUUGGUUGUGAAAUCUCAGGGCUCAACCCUGAAAUUGCGACCAAUACUGGUCGACUAGAGUGUGAGAGAGGAAGGUGGAAUUCCCGGUGUAGUAGUGAAACGCGUAGAUAUCAAGUGGAACACCAGUGGCGAAGGCGAGUCUCUGGACAUUUCCUGACGCUGAGGCACGAAAGCCAGGGGAGCAAACGGG
rnacentral:rRNA from 1 species